CCUGGCCUAAUGACUAGAGUCAUGAGAAGAUGGUCUCUGCCUGACUGUGAGUGGAUGGUGCAUUUCAACCACAUGCCAGAAAUUUCGUGAGACUUCCCCAAAAUUCACGCAACAGAAGUCACAUCUGGGUGGGGUGUACGGCUCUCCUUCCUGGGAGGCAAUAGCAGGUAUCCCAUCUUCCCUGUGGCCCAUACUGCAGAGUCGAGGGGGAGUCACUGCCUGUACCAGAAAACACCCUGGAGCUGGUGGCCAAGGCAGUGACCACCACAGGUGUUUUACUAUAACUCUAGGAAUUAGGCAGUGGGACCUAAUGCUGUGCUGUGCCUCUUCCAGCGGCUGGGGAAGUGGCUCGGCCUUCUGCAACCUGGAGAUGCGCCAAAGCAGUCAGGAAGCCAUGGAGCUGAGAAGACCUCUGAUACCCGACCUGCCCAAGUGAGUGGUCUGGCUGGUCGGGCCUUUCCCUUCUGCCUUGCCUGGGCUCGCGCACUUCCAGAACCAUCUCUGGCAGAAGCCGGCUCCAUCAGCCUGCUCUGAGGGCGCAGAUCAGAACCCUCUUCAUGAUGAACCUGCCUCAGAAAAACCCAGAUAUGGUUUCAAAAGUGACCAGCGGAGGCUGAACAAACACCCUCUCCACCCUGACCUCUAACCCCUGCCCGCAAGAUAGGCUUAUUUAUUAAGCCAAAAAGAAACUUCAGAGAUUUCUCAACUUGUAUUCUCAGUGGAUUUUGGAUCUGUGAGUACAGAAACGACUUGAGAGCUAGAGAGAAGGUUUCCUGAGGGAAGUUCCAUCACUGAAUUAAUAGAAAUAAAAUCAGAGGAAGUGAAGAAGAUGCAGUGCUCUGGAAAUCUCAGAGGAAGACUCUGCAGAGAUGAAUGAAGGAGGAAUCAGAAGGUCUUACACCUACCAUCUUCCAAAAUCUGCUUUCCAACGCAAGUGAACUUUCCUGGACUCAGAGGGGAGGGAGGAGGAGGAAGGAAGCAGAUCAUCCCAGCAAACAGACCGCAAUGUGUUCUAAUCAAUGUGUUGAUUUUCUUUUUCCAGUCGGGCAGAACUCAAGCCCUCUUCCUCCCCUACUCAGGGCAACAGCGUCCUAAGCCCAUAUAUUACAUUACUGACAGAGACAGCCAGAGCAGUUCCUGCCCAGCAGUUAUGCAGUCGUGCCUUAAUAGACCCCUCCAAAAUAUUUAUUUUACAUCUCUGACUGGUGGGCAUUAAUCUCGCUCUCUCUCAUAGUCAAUAAAUUGAGGCUUUAAGUUAAUGGCCGACAUUAUGUGGCUAUUCCUGAGGCGGAGCUGGAAACAGGGCCAGGGCGCUGAUCCCCACACAUACCCUCAAUUUCUUGCUUAAGAUGUGAAGCCAGCUGUCUCGUCUGUCCCUCUGCACAGUGCUUGUAAAGUUGUUCAGAAAGUUCAUCAAGCUACACUACUCUGCAAAAUAAAAAUAUCA
rnacentral:lncRNA from 1 species